UGGGGAAUAUUGGACAAUGGGCGAAAGCCUGAUCCAGCCAUGCCGCGUGUGUGAAGAAGGUCUUCGGAUUGUACAGUACUUUAAGUUGGGAUGUAGGGCAGUAAGCGAAUACCUUGCUGUUUUGACGUUACCGACAGAAUAAGCACCGGCUAACUCUGUGCCAGCAGCCGCGGUAAUACAGAGGGUGCAAGCGUUAAUAGGAAUUACUGGGCGUAAAGCGCGCGUAGGUGGUUCGUUAAGUUGAAUGUGAAAGCCCCGGGCUCAACCUGGGAACUGCAUCCAAAAAUGGCGAGCGAGAGUAGGGCAGAGGGUGGGGGAAUUUCAUGUGUAGCGGUGAAAUGCGUAGAUAUAGGAAGGAAAACCAGUGGGGAAGGCGACCACCUGGGCUCAUACUGACACUGAGGUGCGAAAGCGUGGGGAGCAAACAGG
rnacentral:rRNA from 1 species